GUGCCAGCCGCCGCGGUAAUACGGAGGAUCCAAGCGUUAUCCGGAUUUAUUGGGUUUAAAGGGUGCGCAGGCGGAUCAAUAAGUCAGGGGUGAAAAAUUUCAGCUUAACUGGAAUCGUGCCUUUGAUACUGUUGGACUAGAGUAUAAUUGACGUGACUGGAAUGUGAUGUGUAGCGGUGAAAUGCUUAGAUAUGUCACAGAACGCCAAUCGUGAAGACAGGUCACGAAAUUAUUACUGACGCUCAUGCACGAAAGCGUGGGGAUCAAACAGGAUUAGAAACCCUCGUAGUCC
rnacentral:rRNA from 1 species